UUACAUUAUAUAUAUUGCCAUUAUAUUCUCUUAUUGUCAUUUAUACAAAACUAAAGCUAUGUAUGUUAUUGUAUAUCUAUUACAACUGUAUUUUAUAUUAUAAGGCUUGCGUUGAUGUUUCUAUAUUAGGCAUUGUUGUUCAGUUUGAAAAAAAAUUAUUUAAAAUUAUCUAAUUUUAUCGUACCUACUCGUAUAAUUGAUUUCUAUCCAAAACCUGUCUGUGAAAAACUGAAUUCGACGUUGAUAUCAGAUAAUAAUAUGACCUCAGCCAUCCAUCGGUUUUGGGUUUAGGAUGGAAAGAGGUACGGCAUAGUAUCUUUUAAAAUAGGUCAAUGUAUCUACUAUUACACGUGAACAUGUGAAUCACAGUGAAAGCAGUCUCUGCCAAGUUUAUGGAAAACUUAUUAACAAGACAGGCCUACGUCCACAACUGAAGCUUUAUCAAUAUAAUUGUGUUAUGAACACUGAGCGAUAUCAAAUAUUGAAAAAGAUGUCUAUUAGAUUAUUUAAUGUAAAUUUAAUAUUAAAUGUUUUUGACUAAAUGUGUGUAUUAUCUACCUAACUAGUAAAUAAGAUAGAAUACAUUUUUCAUUAUUAUUUCGCACUUGUUAAAAUAAAUGCUCGAGGCAUAUUGGCACAAAAAGUGCAGUAACGGGUUUUUUGUUCUACUUCAAUUCCACUCAUAAUCCUCAAGUACCUAGUAAAAAUUUCCUCGUUUGCGCGUUUCUAUAUUAUCUAAGUAGGUACUUCGUUGUCGUCUCUUUUACAUUUUCACAAGCACUUGCAGUUAGGCACAUAAGCAAUGUGUAUUGGAGAUAAAGCUUGUACCUAGUAUAAUAUUGUAGUCUUUGUUUGGAACGUUUUAGAAAAGACACGUCACUGCACUCCGACUCUGUUGCAAUGUGCCUUGAUCCUAAGAAAUAUAUUUACCAAAGUUUGGAAUGCUUACAUUGAUAAGUAUUGUGAUUUAAAGAUUUGUUUUAAGUGUAUUUUACUUAGGUAACU